UGGGGAAUAUUGGACAAUGGGGGAAACCCUGAUCCAGCAAUGCCGCGUGAGUGAAGAAGGCCUUAGGGUUGUAAAGCUCUUUCGCCCGCGAAGAUAAUGACGGUAGCGGGAGAAGAAGCCCCGGCUAACUCCGUGCCAGCAGCCGCGGUAAUACGGAGGGGGCUAGCGUUGUUCGGAAUUACUGGGCGUAAAGCGUACGUAGGCGGAUGCGCAAGUUGGGGGUGAAAUCCCGGGGCUUAACCUCGGAAUUGCCCUCAAAACUGCACGUCUUGAGACCGAGAGAGGUAAGGGGAAUUCCUAGUGUAGAGGUGAAAUUCGUAGAUAUUAGGAAGAACACCAGUGGCGAAGGCGGCUCUCUGGGCUGAACCUGACGCUCAGACGCGAAAGCUAGGGUAGCAAACG
rnacentral:rRNA from 1 species